rnacentral:rRNA from 1 species
CCGGCACGGGUGAGUAACACGUAUCCAACCUGCCGUCUACUCUUGGACAGCCUUCUGAAAGGAAGAUUAAUACAAGAUGGCAUCAUGAGUCCACAUGUUCACAUGAUUAAAGGUAUUCCGGUAGACGAUGGGGAUGCGUUCCAUUAGAUAGUAGCGGGGUAACGGCCCACCUAGUCUUCGAUGGAUAGGGGUUCUGAGAGGAAGGUCCCCCACAUUGGAACUGAGACACGGUCCAA